rnacentral:rRNA from 1 species
AGAGUUUGAUCCUGGCUCAGAAUCAACGCUGGCGGCGUGCCUAACACAUGCAAGUCGAACGAGAAAGUGGAGCAAUCCAUGAGUAAAGUGGCGCACGGGUGAGUAACACGUGACUAACCUACCCUUGAGUGGGGGAUAACCUAGGGAAACCUGGGCUAAUACCGCAUAAUACCUUCGGGUCAAAGGAGCAAUUCGCUUAAGGAGGGGGUCGCGGCCGAUUAGUUAGUUGGCGGGGUAAUGGCCCACCAAGACUGUGAUCGGUAUCCGGCCUGAGAGGGCGCACGGACACACUGGAACUGAAACACGGUCCAGACUCCUACGGGAGGCAGCAGUGGGGAAUUUUGCGCAAUGGGGGAAACCCUGACGCAGCAACGCCGCGUGGAGGAUGAAGCCCCUUGGGGCGUAAACUCCUUUCGAUCGGGACG